rnacentral:lncRNA from 1 species
CUAUGAAGGAACUCACUGUUGCCUCAAUAAAUACACAAGUAACACUCAAUUAGUAGUCAUAAUACUUUGAUUAUUCAUGUGGUAGUUAUGAUUAUGAGGGAAAAGAAAAAAAAAGUCCUCAAGGAAAGCGUUUCAGCACUGGGAUCUCUUCAACUCUGAGACUUUAAUUGGCCAGUACCACAGGUUGGAAGGCCUGGCUGGAAUACUGCAGGUUGUAUCCGAGUCCUUCCACAAAUGGAGGUUUAUCUAUGAAGGAAACUCCACUGUUGCCUCCAAUGAUUCCCACAGCCUGUCCUGGUUGUGGACUGGAGAAUGGAUCGAAGGAGGCAUGUGGGUGUGGAGCCUGGAAUGGCGCCAUUGAUGGACCUUCGACAUCAAAGUAGAGGGGCCUCUGGGAAGCGGGAAACACAAACUCUUUGGCAUUAGGAGACAAUUGGCUUGGGAUGGGUCCAGCUAGAGAGUGCAUGGAGAGGGACAGGGGUUUGUGCUUGACCAGCCCCGGUGGGGAGAUGGUGCUUGGGGAGCACGUGAUCAUCCUCUGUUGCGUAGCUGUGACAACGCCAGAACCGGAGGCAACUCCAGGGUUCCCGCACUUGUAGAGGACUUUCACGGCACCCUUCUCCCCAAUCUGGUAGGACACUUCGUAAGGAUCGAUCCAAAUACUGAGCUCGGGGGGAACGUUGGCACGGACCUCAUCUGUGUCCAGACCGCUCCUCCUGGCUGCCAGCUCCACCACAGGGUCCCUGGGAGCUCCCAGAUGCAGGCAGCGGAAGGCAGAACCACGUAAAGGAGCUUCAGGGUACCAAUGCCCUUCAAAGCGGGACACCAGGAUACGCUCCAACUCCUCACCAAACAGAUCUGCCCUACGGCGCGGGAGCUUGUUGUACAAGUAGGACACGAUGAAAGUUCAACGCAACUUUAACUUCCAGGUGCAUGAUGAAUUUGAUUAUGUCUCGAAAGUUCCUUCAGUUAUACAGAGAUUUAUGGCUGUCUUACAUCUCUUGCAAAUAUCCAGGUGAGAGCCUUUAGUCUUAGCCUUAAACGUCAAUUUAAAAGCAAGGGCCUCUGAUUUUGGAUUGUUGCUCAGAAAUCGCUUCAAAAGUGAUUGUCAGAGACCAGUUGAUCUUUAAAAGUCUUCACCCUGAAGCACUGAUGUAUGAAGACUGGACAGCAGCUUUCCAAGAUCCAGUUUCGUCAAAGCCUCUAGAAAGACAAAGACAGACCAGUUAAACGGGAUAUUAAUACACAGUUGAUUGACUGUCUGUGUGCAUGUUUUUUUUUAGAUGCUGAGGCCAAGGUACCAAUCUGUGAUUAUCUUCAUGAAAUCCCUCAUCUGUCCCUCUGGCUAAAGCACUUAGGAUUACAUGUGCUUAGAGAGGAAAAUUUGCCACCAAAAGCACACCAUCCACACUAGCUAAAAGAAACUCAGACUGU